AGAACGACUCUCGGCAACGGAUAUCUCGGCUCUCGCAUCGAUGAAGAACGUAGCGAAAUGCGAUACUUGGUGUGAAUUGCAGAAUCCCGUGAACCAUCGAGUCUUUGAACGCAAGUUGCGCCCGAAGCCUUCUGGCCGAGGGCACGUCUGUUUGGGCGUCACGC
rnacentral:rRNA from 1 species